rnacentral:rRNA from 1 species
AUUGAACGCUGGCGGCAUGCCUUACACAUGCAAGUCGAACGGUAACAGGUCUUCGGAUGCUGACGAGUGGCGAACGGGUGAGUAAUACAUGGGAACGUGCCCGAGAGUGGGGGAUAACGAGGCGAAAGCUUUGCUAAUACCGCAUACGAUCUCAGGAAGAAAGCAGGGGACUGCAAGUCCUUGCGCUCACGGAGCGGCCGAGGGCAGAUUAGGUAGUUGGAGGGAUAAAAGCUUACCAAGCCGACGAUCUGUAGCUGGUCUGAGAGGACGACCAGCCACACUGGGACUGAGACACGGCCCAGACUCCUACGGGAAGCAGCAGUGGGGAAUUUUGGACAAUGGGCGCAAGCCUGAUCCAGCCAUGCCGCGUGCAGGAUGAAGGCCUUCGGGUUGUAAACUGCUUUUGUACGGAACGAAAAGACUCCUUCUAAUAAAGGGGGUCCAUGACGGUACCGUAAGAAUAAGCACCGGCUAACUACGUGCCAGCAGCCGCCGUAAGAC